ACGUACACUCCUACGGGAGGCAGCAGUGGGGAAUAUUGCACAAUGGGCGCAAGCCUGAUGCAGCCAUGCCGCGUGUAUGAAGAAGGCCUUCGGGUUGUAAAGUACUUUCAGCGGGGAGGAAGGCAAUACGGUUAAUAACCGUGUUGAUUGACGUUACCCGCAGAAGAAGCACCGGCUAACUCCGUGCCAGCAGCCGCGGUAAUACGGAGGGUGCAAGCGUUAAUCGGAAUUACUGGGCGUAAAGCGCACGCAGGCGGUCUGUCAAGUCGGAUGUGAAAUCCCCGGGCUCAACCUGGGAACUGCAUUCGAAACUGGCAGGCUUGAGUCUUGUAGAGGGGGGUAGAAUUCCAGGUGUAGCGGUGAAAUGCGUAGAGAUCUGGAGGAAUACCGGUGGCGAAGGCGGCCCCCUGGACAAAGACUGACGCUCAGGUGCGAAAGCGUGGGGAGCAAACAGGAUUAGAAACCCCGGUAGUCCC
rnacentral:rRNA from 1 species